rnacentral:rRNA from 1 species
AGUGAACGCUGGCGGUAGGCCUAACACAUGCAAGUCGAACGGCAGCACAGUAAGAGCUUGCUCUUACGGGUGGCGAGUGGCGGACGGGUGAGGAAUACAUCGGAAUCUACUUUUUCGUGGGGGAUAACGUAGGGAAACUUACGCUAAUACCGCAUACGACCUACGGGUGAAAGCAGGGGAUCUUCGGACCUUGCGCGAUUGAAUGAGCCGAUGUCGGAUUAGCUAGUUGGCGGGGUAAAGGCCCACCAAGGCGACGAUCCGUAGCUGGUCUGAGAGGAUGAUCCGACACACUGGAACUGAGAAACGGUCCAGACUCCUACGGGAAGCAGCAGUGGGGAAUAUUGGACAAUGGAGGCAAGCCUGAUCCAGCCAUACCGCGUGGGUGAAGAAGGCCUUCGGGUUGUAAAGCCCUUUUGUUGGGAAAGAAAAGCAGCAGGUUAAUACCCCGCUGUUCUGACGGUACCCAAAGAAUAAGCACCGGCUAACUUCGUG